rnacentral:tRNA from 1 species
GCGGCUGUGGCGGAAUAGGCAGACGCGAUAGCUUCAGGAGCUAUUGGGCGAAGGCCCGUGGGGGUUCGAGUCCCUCCAGCCGCA